GUCUUUUCUCACAUUUUAUUACAAGCAGCAAUUACAAGAAGAAACCAAGAAGGACUUUCAACAGUCCCUGGAAGUCUCCUUAGCUAGACCACACAGCUCAUUUGGCCAUGAGGCACAUGGGAUCCUAGCUCCCUGAUCAGGGAGGGAUUGAACCCACACCCCCUGCAUUGGAAGACGAAGUCUCAACCACUGGACCACUCAGGGAAGUCCCCUCCACCUCCCCCAUUACUGCAGCCCUCACUCUCAGCCUCUUCCAAGGGCAUCAGGACUUCAUGAAACACUCUUCAAGCCUCUUCACGCUUCCAAGGUCACUCUCCCCAGAGUCUUUCCAGGUUCUUCCCACUGCCUGUUCCCAAAGCCUCUCCCAUCCUUUGGGUUUUCGUUAUGGUGAUGCUCUACAUGC